UACGGAGGGUGCAAGCAUUAAUCGGAUUUAUUGGGCGUAAAGGGCGCGUAGGCGGGAGAAUAAGUCAGAUGUGAAAUCCCGAGGCUCAACCUCGGAACAGCAUUUGAAACUAUUUUUCUUGAGGAUAGGCGGAGAAAACGGAAUUCCACAUGUAGCGGUGAAAUGCGUAGAUAUGUGGAGGAACACCGGUGGCGAAGGCGGCAUCCUGGACCGAUAUUGACGCUGAUGCGCGAAAGCCAGGGGAGCAAACGGG
rnacentral:rRNA from 1 species